rnacentral:rRNA from 1 species
GGAAUAUUGCGCUAAUGCGGGAAACCGUGACGCAGCGACGCCGCGUGGGGGACGAAGGCCCUCGGGUCGUAAACCCCUUUCGCCAGGGACGAAACUGACGGUACCUGGAGAAGAAGUCCCGGCUAACUACGUGCCAGCAGCCGCGGUAACACGUAGGGGACGAGCGUUGUCCGGAUUCAUUGGGCGUAAAGCGCGCGUAGGCGGCCCGGAAAGUCGGUUGUGAAAACCCGGAGCUCAACUCCGGGCCUGCAUCCGAUACUCCCGGGCUGGAGGUAGGUAGGGGGGAUCGGAAUUCCUGGUGUAGCGGUGAAAUGCGCAGAUAUCAGGAGGAACACCGGUGGCGAAGGCGGAUCCCUGGGCCUUACCUGACGCUGAGGCGCGAAAGCUGGGGGAGCAAACAGGAUUAGAUACCCUGGUAGUCCCAGCCGUAAACGUUGGGUGCUAGGUGUGGGCGGAUAUCGACCCCGUCCGUGCCGAAGCUAACGCAUUAAGCACCCCGCCUGGGGAGUACGGCCGCAAGGCUAAAACUCAAAGGAAUUGACGG